rnacentral:rRNA from 1 species
AUACGGAGGAUCCGAGCGUUAUCCGGAUUUAUUGGGUUUAAAGGGUGCGCAGGCGGGAGAUUAAGUCGGCGGUGAAAUUUUGCAGCUCAACUGUAAAAGUGCCUUCGAAACUGGUUUCCUUGAGUGUAGAUGAAGUAGGCGGAAUUUGUGGUGUAGCGGUGAAAUGCAUAGAUAUCACGAGGAACUCCGAUUGCGCAGGCAGCUUACUAAACUACUACUGACGCUCAGGCACGAAGGCGUGGGGAUCAAACAGGAUUAGAUACCCUGGUAGUCCACGCAGUAAACGAUGAUUACUAGCUGUUUGCGAUACAAUGUAAGCGGCUGAGCGAAAGCGUUAAGUAAUCCACCUGGGGAGUACGCCGGCAACGGUGAAACUUAAAGGAAUUGACGGGG